rnacentral:lncRNA from 1 species
AUAAUUGGCUCGUCCCUCUACCCUUCUCCACUUAAAUACCAGGCUUUUGUUUGCGACAAGGUUCGAGCCUUUGAGAUGUGCCUAACCCACACAAUUGUGGUCUUACCACCACUAAAGCCCAGGGACAAGAUAUCCCUAAAGUAGUGCUGCAACCAAACAUAGGACAGGAGUAAUAAUCUCAAAUAUAAUCCUUCCAUACAAUCCAAU